rnacentral:rRNA from 1 species
GACGUAGGGGGCGAGCGUUGUCCGGAUUUACUGGGCGUAAAGGGCGCGUAGGCGGCUCGUUAAGUGUGAAGUGAAAUCUCCAGGGCUCAACCCGGAAACUGCUUCGCAUACUGGCGAGCUUGAGGAACGCAGAGGUAACUGGAAUUCCCGGUGUAGCGGUGAAAUGCAUUGAUAUCGGGAGGAACUCCAACAGCGAAGGCAGGUUACUGGGCGUUAUCUGACGCUGAGGCGCGAAAGCGUGGGUAGCAAACAGG